CAGACGCAGCCUUAAAAGAAAAUCUACUGAUAUUCAUUGAUGGCCUCUUAUGCUCCUGAAAGGUCCCCAAAAUGCCCAUGGCCAUUCCAAAGCCACCCAAAAGGAGAGGAAAUGUGGCCAAAUGGAAGUCAAGGUGGAAAGAGGCAGUGAUCUGAAGCAACUAAACAUCUUACCAUUGCAGAAUUUAUAACAUCCAACAAAGUCCAAGGCCUUGGAAUUCUAGCCAAACCUACUGGCUGAGGCAGAAGAAUGAACAAGAAGCGUCAGCCAGACCGCUGGCCCAGGCACCAACUCACAGUUGCCCAGUAGGAUUGAGCUCUGGGGCCGUUUACAAGUCCACGUCACUCCUGUAUAAACCUUAGAAGUUUACUGA